ensembl:lncRNA
GCACCUGGGCCUGGGAACGCACCUAAAGCCAGAGAGCUCCACACCUUACCUGCUCCGUCCCAUUCCACCUGAGCCUCUUCCUCCUCUGCUGGGCACCU